ACUCCUACGGGAGGCAGCAGUGGGGAAUAUUGCACAAUGGGCGCAAGCCUGAUGCAGCCAUGCCGCGUGUAUGAAGAAGGCCUCGGUUGUAAAGUACUUUCAGCAGUGAGGAAGGUGGGUAUGUUAAUAGCAUACUCAUUUGACGUUAGCUGCAGAAGAAGCACCGGCUAACUCCGUGCCAGCAGCCGCGGUAAUACGGAGGGCGCGAGCGUUAAUCGGAAUUACGUGGCGUAAAGCGCAUGCAGGUGGUUUGUUAAGUCAGAUGUGAAAGCCCGGGGCUCAACCUCGGAAUUGCAUUUGAAACUGGCAAACUAGAGUACUGUAGAGGGGGUAGAAUUUCAGGUGUAACGGUGAAAUGCGUAG
rnacentral:rRNA from 1 species